UACGUAGGGGGCUAGCGUUGUCCGGAUUUACUGGGCGUAAAGAGCGCGCAGGCGGUCGGAUCAGUCGAAUGUGAAAGCCCCCGGCUCAACUGGGGAGGGUCAUUCGAUACUGUCCGACUCGAAGGCAGGAGAGGGAAGCGGAAUUCCCGGUGUAGUGGUGAAAUGCGUAGAUAUCGGGAGGAACACCAGUGGCGAAGGCGGCUUUCUGGCCUGUUCUUGACGCUGAGGCGCGAAAGCUAGGGGAGCGAACGGG
rnacentral:rRNA from 1 species